UUCAGGCUGCCAGAUGUGGAGAACUCUAUGUGUCCACAGGACAGGUAGAAAACAGGCAGUAGCAAUGCUGGCCUGCCCACACUGCCCUCUCCAUGGUCUUCAACAACAAGCAGCCACCUCUGAGGAUGAGAGUUUAGCUUAGAAUCUGGUCUCUUGCUGAACCUGCCAAAACU
rnacentral:sRNA from 1 species